rnacentral:tRNA from 2 species
AGUAAAGUCAGCUAAUAAAGCUAUCGG